UACAUAGGGGGCAAGCGUUGUCCGGAAUCAUUGGGCGUAAAGCGCGUGUAGGCGGUUCGGUAAGUCUGCUGUGAAAGUCCAGGGCUCAACCCUGGGAUGCCGGUGGAUACUGUCGGGCUAGAGUACGGAAGAGGCGAGUGGAAUUCCCGGUGUAGCGGUGAAAUGCGCAGAUAUCGGGAGGAACACCAAUUGCGAAGGCAGCUCGCUGGGACGUCACUGACGCUGAGGCGCGAAAGCUAGGGGAGCAAACAGG
rnacentral:rRNA from 1 species